AGUUACUUUAUUAUUGUUUAUUGUUGGUGAGUUUAAUUAAGAGAGUUAAUUGGCAGAUUCACAUUAAUGUGUAGUGUCAGUGUCAUCUGUCAUGUCAGUUCAGAGUCCAAGAAGAAAGACUAGACUGCACAGAUCAUAAUUUCGAUUCCUUAGCAUUUGUAUUUUCGUGAUCAAACUUAACUUAGUUCAAUUUAAUAUGACAUUUGGAUCCAGCCUAGGGUAGACGCCAGGCGGUAGUGUUGAUUGUAUGUGUAUGAUUAAUUUCGUGAUGAAGAUCAAGGUUAGCAUUGAUUUAAGUAAAAUAAAUAUCAGUGAUUUAAAAAAGAAGCGAACAAUUAAAGAAGAAAGAAUAAAACAUCUGAACAUUUUUAAAAAAAUUUAUAAAUCUUCAGAUGAACACUUCAAGAAAGUUCAGAAAUCUGUGUACUUAAUAGUCCAAGCUGUGGACUUAACAGUCCAAGGGGAUGACGAUUCCAGCAUAUAUCUGGAACAAUAUCGAAAAGGAAAACUUGCCCUGAAACAACAUCGAAAAGAAAAACUUGCCAAGUUUCAAGAUGAAUAUGAACCCAUCAUUGAUUUUUAUCCCCCAACACCUUCAGUAUCACAGUGUGUAGAGCAGAUGUCUCUACAUCUUCAUCUACUGAUGCAGGAUUACGACUAUCAUGACAAAAUGAAAAAACUGCGUCAGAUAGAAACAGACCCUACCAGUAAAAUUGUAGCUGAUAGAAAAUACAAAGAAGUAAAAAAAAUGUUUCUGGAAUCAACAAAAAAAUUGGGCUCAGAUUUUGUUUCUCAGUUUAAAAAAAUAUUUAAGCAAUUUAAUAAGAAAAAUGUUAUUAUGAUGAUUUUUGUUGAAGUAGUUAAAAGCCAGAUGAAACGACAAAACAUAGAAUUAAAAGGACCGAGUAGUAAGCAAAUUUCUCUUUACAAAUAUUUAGUUCAUGGAAUGUUUACCAGAAACAAUUGUAAAGAUUUUGACUGUUUUUUUGAAUCGCCUGAGUUUGAGGAACUAUUUAACAAAGCCUACAGCCUUAGCUUGGCCAGGAAUUUGGAAAGUCCAAAUCAUCUAAAUACACCUUAAAACUUUUCCUGGAACCCCAUCUACAUCCGAAUCACACAGUAAAAACAAGCUAGUUUACAUGGAUUCAAUCCAGUUGAAGAGUUUGCCUACUUGCUAAAGAAGUUCCCAAAUAUAUAAAUGGAUCAUGUAUGAAAUAAGAUGAAUACAGGUAAAUAAUAGCAAUGAUCACAAGUGUUAAAAGGUGAUGAACAAUUUUGUGCAUUAUGUAGGUUAUUUAUGUAGGUUAAUUGCAUUACUUUAUAGUAAUUUUCACUGCUGCAUGACAUAAUAAACCAGUGGUCCCAAAUGACCAAUUUUUAUGGAAAGAGUGUACAAAAGUAUGGUUGCUAUCUCAUUCCAUAAAAUAAUUGAUUUGUUCUUAAAGACAUUUAGCUGUUUUAGACUGAUUACCUGCAAAGUAUCUGUAAUAAGAUUGGUUUUCAAUACUUUUUUCAAUGUAAUUAACUGUUACAAUGUAGACAGGGUUCACAGUAUAUUUACAUCACAUUGAUUGUAAUUUUUUUAUUUUAGUCUAUGUUUUAUAUUAUUUGUUAUGUAUCUAGGUUUUAUUUGUAUUUAAAGAAUUUAAUUUAAAUGGA